UACGGAGGGUGCAAGCGUUAUUCGGAAUCACUGGGCGUAAAGGACGCGUAGGCGGGUUGGCAAGUCAGAUGUGAAAUCCUACAGCUUAACUGUAGAACUGCAUUUGAAACUGCUAACCUAGAGUAUGGGAGGGGGAGAUGGAAUUAGUGGUGUAGGGGUAAAAUCCGUAGAUAUCACUAGGAAUACCGAAAGCGAAGGCGAUCUCCUGGAACAUAACUGACGCUAAGGCGUGAAAGCGUGGGGAGCAAACAGGAUUAGAAACCCUAGUAGUCC
rnacentral:rRNA from 1 species